rnacentral:lncRNA from 1 species
UCAUUACUGUAUUUUGCAACUACAUCUUUGUGUUGAAACCAUCCCUCAUUACAUUCUUUUCUGCACCUGAAUCCAAGCAAGGUUAAGCCCAGUUACAUGACCUGUUUUCAUUCCACAGGUCACCCCAUCCCACAAGCAGCAAUCUGUACCCUCUUUCCACGACUCUGUCUUGGGAUGCUGUUAAUUCCAUGAAGCAGAGCUAUCAAUGGAAAAGGAGUCUUUGAAUUGGAGCAAAGAAAGACUUUGGUCAUGAGCACAAAAAUGAGAUGAAGAAAUUGUUGAAAGGAAAUGGAAGAGAAACAGAAUGAAAGAGAGGGACGGUGGUGAAAACCCCAUGUUUGGCCUUACAGGAUUUAGUAGUAUAUUUGGGAGAGAUGAGGAAUAAAGAAAGGCAUUGUUUGUAUAUUUAGUGGUAUAUUUAUAGACAAAGCAAUCUUAGAUUGUAUACUGACGAAAUCGAAGUCACUGACCGACCAAAUCUCAAGUACAAGAGUGAGUAGUACGUGCGCAAAGCAAUGGGGGCACUAAAGACUUUGCACUUAUAUAUCGUUUCUCGUGACCCAAAAGUACUCUUUGUGCGCGCUCGGUAAUGUAUAACAGUUUAAAAAUCGUGACAGCUUAAUUUGAAUGUUCAGAGAUGUUUUUCCAAAUUGUAUUUAGCAAUGAGGUUUAUGCGAA